rnacentral:rRNA from 1 species
UACGGAGGGUGCGAGCGUUGUCCGGAAUCACUGGGCGUAAAGGGCGCGUAGGUGGCGCGGGCAGUCAACGGUGAAAGUUCGGGGCUCAACCCUGAAUCGGCCGUCGAUACUCCCGGGCUUGAGCACUGUAGAGGCUAAUGGAAUUCCGGGUGUAGCGGUGGAGUGCGUAGAGAUCCGGAAGAACACCGGUGGCGAAGGCGGUUAGCUGGGCAGUUGCUGACACUGAGGCGCGACAGCGUGGGGAGCAAACAGG